rnacentral:sRNA from 1 species
AUGGCACAGAUCGCAUUAACUUCUUCGGCAACCCUUGUUUCCUUCAAAGGUAUUCUUUCUAUCUCUCUCACCCUCUUUUAUUGCCACUGAUUGCAUAGAAUUUCUUCUUCUUUUUUGAUGAAAUAGAAUUUCCAUUUACUUACAUGUAUACCCAGAUGGGUUUCUCUUAAAUUUUCAGAAAAUUUAGAAAUCCCAGAAUUUUUUGACUUGAAAAAUUUUAGAUAUCAUCUAUCUAUGCCGUACUAUUUUCACCCAAAUGAUGAUUGUGCACGUUUUUUGUUAUUAAGCGAUUGAAGUCUUAGUGUAUGUUUGGAACUCAAAAAAGUUGAUAAUUUGUGAUAUGAUUGAGGGUCAUGAAUUGUAAUCUAUGGGGUGAAAUGGGACAGAUUUUAUUACAUUAAUUGGGGGAUUUCAGGUGGAGCAAAACGGGGGGCUAAGUUGAGUUCAGAUACUUCGAGACUGAGAGUGUCUAGGAUUGGGACCAAUUUAUGGUUGUUAAACAAAAGUGGUGGAAGUGGAAGUGGAAGUGGAAGUGGAAGUGGAAGUAAAGGCUUUGGAUUAGUUGGUUCCGAUGGAAUAUAUAGAGGAAACAGAGGUGUCGUGAAGGUAUCCGAUGGUCAAGCAGCCCCCUUGUCUGACUCUUAUUUCUGGGCGGCAGCUUAUAAUAAGGUUGGAAUUUUAUCAUGCACAUUUCCAUUUAUAUCUCUGCCAUAAAAAGACCACUAGGAUUUUUAAUAGUAUGAAAGUGUUUACUCAAUGGGUUUUGGCCCUUUAGUCUUUUGGGUCCUCUGGAUUUUGGGUUGAAAUCCAUGACUUGGACCUGGGCCUUUGUUUUUUUUUUGAAUGGUGACUGUUCUGUGUGGGCCACAUUAAAUGGUGUUUUACUUGGAAGCAAUGCUAGAAACAUACUCAUUUUUUUCAUCACUUGUUGAGAAGUGAUUAGUGCAGCAUUAUUUACAAAAUAAAUUCCAAUUUUCUUUUAAGCUUAAUAACACAAAUUAUAAUAUGCCACCUGAAAAGUGUGAAAAAAAAGUAUGAAAAUUUGUGUAUUGAGACUACUGUUAACUUUAAUAUGUCAUGCAACUAGCCGACUGCAAUGUGUUGCAUUUGAGAGAAAUAAGUAUAAUAUAAAAAUUUUUGUAAUUCUUGACGACAUGAUAUGUUACUAAAGUAUAUGCCAACUAGUUGAGUUACUAGAUUCUUGACAACAUGAUGUAUAGUUAAAGUGGUACAAUUAUUGGCUUGUAUAAAAAUAAUUUUGAUUCAAUCAUAGUUUAUCACCUUAGUAAGUUGUAAAAAAAAAAAAAAUUAUGUUGAUAGCAUUGCUAAAUUUUUUUUUUUUUUUUUUAACUACCACUAAAAGGUCUUGAAAUACUUUUUGAGAGGUACUACGUUCACAACAUUUUUAUAACGUUUUUACUAUAAAUCAUAGAUGGUUAGUUGUUAAUGAUUCUAAUUUAAAUCUAUCACUGAAAUUACUUUUCUACCCCAUUAAUAACAACCCGUAACAACCUGCCACAUAGAAUUUGUUAUGAAAAUAUUAUGGACAUAGUAUUUUUUAUACUUUUUAUAUACUAGGAUUCUCUUUUUCUUUUUUCUUUUUUCUUUUUUAUCUCCAAAAAAAAAAAACUAGGAUUCUCUUAAUUAUUAAUUCACUAUUUUUUUUUUCUAUAAAUGCCACACUAAAAACAAAACAAAACAAAAUUCCCCAUUUGUUAAUGAACUGUUCCAAAUCCCAAAUUAAUGAGUCAUUUAUGAAUAAUCUCAACAAAAAAACAAAAGGAGUCAUUUAUGAAUGUUGUAAAUGUAACAAUAAAGCAAACCCAUUUCCAUUUCGAAAACGCAAGUAAUUUGGUCCAGAACAGUUAAUUCGGAUUAAAUAACUAUCAGUUGACUUUAGUUUAGCGAGUAGCAUUGCAUUCCACUUUCUUGGAGCACCUGUACCUGCCAGUUUGGUUAGGAUACUUAGCCAACCUUUAGAAAAAAAGGGAUAGAGAAAAAGAAAGACAAAGAAUAUAAUGUUUCUUAUAGCAAUAAAAAGAAAGAAAGAAAAAAAAAUCUUGCUUUUACUACUUCAUGUAGUGAAGCUGAAGAUUGUUUCAACUUUGAUUACCAAACAAAGUUGAUUAUUUGUCUAAGCAAGUCUAGACAACAAGUUUCUAAAACCAUGAAAAUAAGAUUCAGAAAAAAAGGGUCCCAUACCCCACACACACAAAUGUGUCCCACCUACGGCUUCUCUUCUCCUUGAUGACCCAAAUUUCUACUAGUACUUUUUCUUUUCCCUUCUUCGUGGCCAAUUUCUAGUACUCUAAAUUAAGAGUAUAAAAUAGUGGUAUUUUCACAUGGGCCAGAUUGGCAUAAUUUCAUAGAAAAUUAGGCGGCACUUGGACCGGCCUUUGCCUAACUAGUCCAAGUUUUUAAGUUUCUACUUUCUAGUAAGCAAAGCACUUUGAGUAUUCCUUCUUCCACGACCCAAAAAAAUUGAAAAGGCACGUAGUGUUAAUCACAUCUCCGUUGAUGACGGUCCAAGUCAUAGAAUACAUUUUUGUUUUCACAAGUAUAGUGCCCAAGUCAACGAGAACGUGUCCUGUUUUUGUUGUUUUUAUUAUUCGUGACACUAACUACAAAUUAGUUAGGGGUACAUUUUCACAAUUUUAAUAUAGUUUUGUCAUUUUUCGACCGUUUGACUCAUUCUAUUGGAAAUUGAACGCCUGUUUUGGUAUAAAUUCUUUGUGCUAAGUGGGGUUUUGGAGUCUGGGUCAGAGACUACUAAAAUGGACCACUUCUUAAUUCACAAAGGAAAAUAAAAGAAAAAUCCUCAUGUAUGGCAUGUAUAAAAUAGGACAAAAUUCGGAAUAAAAAUUAAAAGUGACCCUUUGAUGUUUUCAUUUGCAAAUCAAUACAUGUCGGCAUGUAGCAAUAGCUUCUAAUAAUUUCUCUCUUUAAAACAUUGCACAAUUGGGAAUUAAAAUUAGUAAAUUACCCAUCUCAGAUUUUUUAUUAUUAUUAUUAUUUAUUUGUCAAGUCAAAUUAGAAUGCUUUGCACAUCCCACUAUCACAACCAGGGAUAAAAAAAAAAAAAGGUAUACAAGUAAAUUUAAGAAUUUUAUUAUACUUUAAAAUGUCAAUAUCAUAAAAGGGAAAUAUUAAAGAAUGCUUUAAGAGCAUCAAUUUAUAAGCUAUUUUUAAAAAUAUUUUAUGAGAAAAUAAUAAAUCAAUUGAUUUUGAUAAUAACUUUUCAAAUUUUCUGUAAAAAUAAUACCAAAAUUUUCCUAAUAUAAUUUAUUAAUAAUUACCCAAAAAGAUCUACUUAAAAUGACCCAUCAUAAAAAGUUAAAAACCAAGCUAGCUAGUUUUUCAGCACAUUGAAGGUAUCCACCAAAUUCUUGUAAUUCCCUGCAACAUUGGAAACCGUAUAUUAGUCAAAACUCAAAAAGUUAUACUUUUCUUAAACCGAACACCUCUAGGGAAAAAAAAAAGAAAAAACAAAUUAGAAAUCAACAAAGUUACAAAACCAAACAAAAAUAAAUAUAAAUAAUAAAUAAAUAAAACACAAAAAAAAAUUAUAUAUAUAUAUAUAUAUAUUUAUAGAAUAAUAGAAAUAUAAAUCGUACAUAUAUAGAAAGGAAACAAAUUAGAAAGUCCUACUACAACAGCACUACCUAUACCAAAUCAAUAAAUAAAUAAAAACCCGAAAGAGAAACGAAACUUACAGAGCCCAUUCCAUACGCGUUUUUCGUUUACCUCCUCUAUCUUUCCUCUGGUUCUGUUCUGUUCUCAAAAAAUAAAAACUCUUUCUCUCUCUCUCUCUCUCUCUCUCUCUCUCUUUCUGUGUCUCUCUCUUUUCCUUUAUUUGCAGAGAGCCACAUUCUUUGUCGGUCAUCCUCAAAAACUCGACCUUUUUUCAUUUGUCUUGUUUCAUACCCACGUUGUUUUUGUUUUUGUUUUUGUUUUUGUUUUUAAUAUUCAAAAGCAAAUCAAUCCCUUUCUCUUAUUCUUUGUUUUCAAUGAAAUGAAACUCAACUCAAUUUUCGCUCAGAUCCAUGGAAGAGAAAAGCCACAAGCUUUCUAAAUUCUCCAAUGCCCAGAUCUAUUAUUAUCUCCUUCCAUUUAUAGUAAACCUCACCGUUUUCUGAUUACUCACUGAAAAUAUAUAUAAAAAAUAAAAAAAUAAAAAAAAUCCAAUCUUUUAUUUGUUGUUGUUGAAGGCAAAUUCGGAGCCGUCGGAUCGAGACCCAUCAACGAAAAUGAAAGGUACAAGCAGAUUCUUCACGAUCGGGCUCGUCGCAGCGUGGUACUCCUCCAACAUUGGGGUCCUAUUGCUAAACAAGUACUUGCUGAGCAAUUACGGGUUCAAGUACCCGAUCUUUUUGACCAUGUGUCACAUGACGGCUUGCUCGUUGCUCAGCUACGUGGCAAUCGCGUGGAUGAAGAUGGUGCCUAUGCAGACGAUUCGGUCCCGGGUUCAGUUCUUUAAGAUCGCGGCGCUCAGCCUCGUGUUCUGCGUCUCGGUUGUGUUCGGGAACAUAUCGCUCCGAUUCUUGCCCGUCUCGUUCAACCAGGCUAUUGGGGCUACCACGCCGUUUUUCACUGCGGUUUUUGCGUACAUUAUGACUCUGAAGAGGGAGGCUUGGCUUACUUAUGUUACUCUCAUUCCUGUUGUCACUGGAGUCAUCAUUGCAAGUGGGGUAUGUGCUUCUCUCUAUUUUUUUUUUAGCUUUGUUUUUUUGGUUUUAAUUUGUGCAAAUUGAUUGAAUUUUGGAUAUGGGUUUUGCUUCAAUUGAAUUCUUGAGCUACUUUUAUGUGCAAUUAGGUUAGUUUUUGGGAAUUACUGAUAAUAAUUUAGUGCUGUUUAAUGGGCUAGAAGAUAUAGGAAAAUUUUUCAGUCUACCUAGCUGAGCCUAGUUUAGCUAUUAGGCUUAAUGGAGGUAUGAGCUUUUUUUUCCUGGUUUUUGUUUUGGUUUUGGUUUUGACUUGUGUAUAUUUAUCGGAUAUCAGAUGUGGGUUUUGCUUGCAUUAAUUGAAUUUUUGAGCUACUUUUCUGUGCAAUUAGAUUAGUUUUCUCAACUAUCAAAAUGAAAAAGAAAAAGAAAAAAUCGUUUUCUCAUUUUAAUUGGGAGAUGCUGCAAAUAAUUAUUACUGUUUGAUGUGUUGAAAGAUCUAGGAAAAUAGGGGAAAAUUUAUAGUAUUAUUUUUCAGUAUACCCGACUAUUUUUAGAUUAGCUAUUAGGCUUAAUGUGGUAAACUUCUUUUUGUUUUUUUGGUUUUGUUUUGAUAUGUGAGUAAAACUUAGCUAUAGUUCCUUAGGUGUUGUACCAUAGGUUCUCCAAUAAAAGUCAACCAUGUGGUUGCAUUGAUAUUAAUGUUUUUGCUGCAUUGGUCAAUAACACCAUGCAGUUGAAUUCAAUUGGGGGAACCUAUGUUACAAUACUUAGGAGCUGUACCUAAGUUUUGUCCCUGAUAUGUAAGAUCGAAACUUUGUUUGGCUGCGUGAAAUUGAGUGCUUUUUAUUUCCAGUUAUUGUUUGUUAGUUUAGUAGGCAGUGUUUUUUGAGGAUAGUGUUAUGUGCAUGAUUGUGGUGUACCAUCAAUUUGAUAUUUGGAUGAUUUAGUUAAUUUGUUGAAUUGUCGUUGGACUGUGGUUAGACUCAUUAGAGUGAUUUGCAGAACUCUUUAAAUGUUUUCUUUAUUCAAGUGAUAUCAUUGGAAUAAUAUGUCUUCUGAUUUGUGGCAACAGGGUGAACCGAGUUUCCAUCUGUUUGGGUUCAUAAUCUGUGUUGCAGCUACAGCUGCAAGGGCACUCAAGUCAGUGCUACAGGGGAUUUUGCUCUCUUCAGAAGGGUAAGAAACUCUUAUGUGUUCAUCUUAUUGAGACAAAAAUUAAUGGCAUAAUUUCUUUGUUCUGUAGUUCAAUUAUUUCAAAACUAAAAGUGGAUACUGACAAUGCCCUUUUAAUAUUAUUCAAGGGAGAAGCUGAAUUCUAUGAACCUCCUUCUAUACAUGGCUCCAAUAGCUGUUGUUUUUCUGCUACCUGCAACGCUUAUUAUGGAAGAAAAUGUGGUUGGCAUCACACUAGCUCUUGCUAGAGAUGAUCACAAGAUCAUCUGGUAUCUACUAUUCAAUUCAUCACUGGCAUAUUUUGUAAAUCUGACCAAUUUCUUGGUCACAAAACACACUAGUGCACUCACUCUUCAGGUAUGACUCACUUCUUGAUAUAGACUAAUUUCUGUUUGUUAUCUAUCAUCUUUCAUGUUCUCUGUUAAUUGCUUGUGUGCUCCAUUUGCCUAUUUAUUUUUCAGCUCAUAGAAAUGAAUAUUUUUCUUCCCUAUAGAACUUGGACAGUUCUGGAGGAAUGAUCUUCAUACAUUAAUUGUGGAAUUAUAGAAAUCUGAAUAUUAAUUAGAAAAGGACCGUGUCUGCUUUAGUGAGACAUAUGAUCAGGAAAUGUAGGUUGUCAGCCAAAUUUUAAUAAUUUCUUUCCAUCAGUUCUUGGGCUCAAUGAUGUGUUUCUGAUUAUUGCAUAGAUGGAGCCUUAACGGGUUCUUUCCUAAAAUUAUGUAAAAGAAACACUAAAGAGAAGUUGAGUGCUUACUUAUCUCCCCCACCCCCCCCCCCUAAAAAAAAAAAAAGAAGAAGAGAAGUUGAGUGCCUGCUUUGCAUUGCAUAAUCUAUGCAGGUUAUUGCCAAUGUCCUAUAGCUCAAUUUAUAGUUUCUCGCCUUGUAACUACAGGCGGAGGGUCCCUGUAAGAGUCACCUGGUGCAUGGUUGACUUACCUAUUAAGUAAAAAAAAAAAAAAAGAAGCCAUGCUUGCUUAUUAUCUUCAUAAAUAAAAUAUAUUUUAAUGAUACUACAAAAAGGAACAAUUGAGAGUGUAAGAUGUAAAUGUAAAGAGCAUGGAAAUCUAUAAAUUGUGCCCGAAAAUAGAGUUCUUACUUCUUAGUGAAGCUCGUUAAUCAUAAAUUCCUCUAGGGGUUAUUGGUGGGGAGUUUUAAAUAGUUCUGCAUGAUUUCUAUAAAAAUCAGCAAAUUCCACGAGAAAUAUGAUUGGUAGACAUGUUAAAUUCUGCACCCUAGAUUAUUUCCUAUAGCUACAUAUGACGGUUAUGGAUGGAGUGAAGCGUUGAAGAAAAGCAUUUAUGUUUUUAUGUUGACUCGGUUUCCCAUGGUAACUUAAUUGCAGCCAUGAUAUUUGAAUUUUUUAAAGAGUUUAGUUGAUGAGAUGGAUAAGUGGGAUAUUAUCAUAUAUGAGUUUUGAGCUCUAGGCAUGACCAAUUGAGACAAUCAUCUAAGAUGAUUUAAUCAUGUAUGGUGGAAACCAAUUGUGGUACCAUUUGAGUUUGGUUUAAGCUGAAACUACUCUUUUAAGGAUGGCCAAAAGUAUAUAGGCUGAAGAUGUGGAACAAAGUCCAUGUAGCCAUUCCAAGUGAGAGGAAUACUGCUUCAAUAGACUUUGUAGCUCUCUUGUUGUAUAGCUUUAUGUUAAAGUAUCUUCUGAGUUGGAUAUUUUUGGCUGUUUUUACUAAUGAACUUCUUGGGAGCAAAGCAUUUGCUUAGCAAUAAAAGGUUGAGCAUUAUGUUUUUGCCCUUAAAACUAUGUAUUCAAUCUUGCUGCCCUAUCUAUAUUUUUGUGUUUCAAAGGUUCAAUAGGUUGUAUGCAAUGUUGCCUUAUUUUUAUUUUUUUUUCCCCUUAUCUUCUUUUUUGGAAGUUCAACAUUUGUAUAACAAAGAGUUAUGGUUCUUUCAGGUACUAGGAAAUGCUAAAGGGGCAGUGGCUGUGGUGGUUUCAAUUUUAAUUUUUAGAAAUCCUGUGUCGGUGACUGGAAUGCUUGGUUACUCGCUUACAGUCAUGGGAGUUAUACUCUACAGUGAAGCCAAGAAGCGAAGCAAAUGA